rnacentral:rRNA from 1 species
UUUUGGACAAUGGGCGCAAGCCUGAUCCAGCAAUGCCGCGUGCAGGAAGGAGGCCUUCGGGUUGUAAACUGCUUUUGUACGGAACGAAACGGUCCUGGUUAAUACCUGGGGCUAAUGACGGUACCGUAAGAAUAAGCACCGGCUAACUACGUGCCAGCAGCCGCGGUAAUACGUGGGGUGCAAGCGUUAAUCGGAAUUACUGGGCGUAAAGCGUGCGCAGGCGGUUUUGUAAGACAGGCGUGAAAUCCCCGGGCUUAACCUGGGAAUGGCGCUUGUGACUGCAAAGCUGGAGUGCGGCAGAGGGGGAUGGAAUUCCGCGUGUAGCAGUGAAAUGCGUAGAUAUGCGGAGGAACACCGAUGGCGAAGGCAAUCCCCUGGGCCUGCACUGACGCUCAUGCACGAG